UACGUAGGGUGCGAGCGUUGUCCGGAAUCACUGGGCGUAAAGGGCGCGUAGGCGGCCCUGUUAGUCAGGCGUGAAAGUCCUGGGCUCAACCUGGGAACUGCGCUUGAUACGGCAGAGCUAGAGGAUGGAAGAGGCUCGCGGAAUUCCCAGUGUAGAGGUGAAAUUCGUAGAUAUUGGGAAGAACACCGGUGGCGAAGGCGGCGAGCUGGUCCAUUACUGACGCUGAGGCGCGACAGCGUGGGGAGCAAACAGG
rnacentral:rRNA from 1 species